rnacentral:rRNA from 1 species
AACGAACGCUGGCGGCGCGCCUAAUACAUGCAAGUCGAGCGAGAAGACGUAGCAAUACGUUUGUAAAGCGGCGAACGGGUGAGGAAUACAUGGGUAACCUACCCUCGAGUGGGGAAUAACUAGCCGAAAGGUUAGCUAAUACCGCGUACGCUCCUUGGACUUCGGUUCAGGGAGGAAAGCGAUGCCGUGGGUAUCGCGCUCUUGGAUGGGCUCAUGUCCUAUCAGCUUGUU